AUGGGGAAUCAGAUGCCCCUCCCGUUCGUGUAUGAGGCCUUCCCCGAGAAGCUACGGCAGAUUGGAUCUGUGCCGUCAGAGAUGCUAGAAGCAACAAGGGCGAGGCGAUGGAGGGAGAGAGCGAUGCAGAUCCGAGAUGAUGCCAUGUCGUGGAUGCACUGUGUGCGGGAGUGGAAGGAGAUGGAGGAGGCCAUGGCAGCGGCCAUGGUGUCAGAUCCAGAGUGGAGUUCUCAUUGGAGGCGUCGGGUGCAGACAUACAAGAACCAGGCGGAUCAGGAGAUGGUGAAUUUUGCCCGACGGAUAUAUUUCGAAGCCACAUAUCUGGAGAGGGCCAGAAUGCCAUCUCCAUCGGCGCCGCCGGUUGAUUUUGCAAAUUGGGCGAAGGUGGAGGCGCAAUCGGGGGAUCCAAUGCGCAGUGAGAGAUGGGAGUGCUUGGUGGGACUCAUGCCCACCAGCGUUCCUGCUCUGCUAGCCCCCAGAGAUGGGAGUGCUUGGUGGGACUCAGGUGAAAGGAAUGAUGAUAUAGCUUUGGUUAGCGUUGAGAAGGUUUUGAUGAUGAUCUAG
rnacentral:rRNA from 1 species